CAUCUUGUCCCAAAUUUUUGCCUUUCUCAAGUUUUCCAGUAUAUUCAACAGUUUUCCCAGCCUCAAACCUGAGUAAAGCUGCACUAACCCCCCCCCCCCCCCCGCACCACCCCCAAAGCCUCAAGGUCACCAAUACAUGUUUCCACAAGAGCUCAUGGUUAGUUUUUCUACUUCACCUACUGAUUUCCUCAGUCUCCAGGGAACUGCCUGACAUCAGAUCACUUUUUCCCAACAUUUAAUCUUGACAGAAGCGAGAGCAAGAGUUUUAAAAGUCCUGCCGCUCAGCUCAAAAUCCACCAGAUAGUUUUCACCUAGAUUUAAGUCAAAAUCCUAAAUUUGGCCUACUACAUUACUUCUCAUCUUGUCUCAAGCCUUUGUGCUGUUCAGACCUGGCGCUUAACUUACUCUUCCACCUCUACCUCCUUUUAACUUAACCUGUCAGCUAUGAGCGCAAAUGGCUCACUCUUAGCAUGGCGUAUUCUGCCAAGACAGAAGUACUACUGAUCAGUUCUUGGUUGCAAAGAAAAGUGUUGGAACUCCACUGAAAAUGGACCUACAAGGAGGCCAGAGAGAGAGCCAGGAGUACAAAUGAACAGUGACCAAAGGCAGCCGGGCAGCCCAAAACAACCAUCCUGGCUGGGCUGUCACCAGCCAGUUAGGCCCAGCCAGUAUCUUGAGUGCCAGUAUCUUGUGAUGCACCUAGAGUUACAGCCCCAAACAGAACCCUGCAGGUGACCAUUAGCUGGGUUUUUGCAUCCAUCCCUCACUGCCUCCACUUCCUUUAGCAGAGGAUCAGGCCUUGUGGGCCUCUGUUCUAUCAGAGUUUGACUCCACUAAGUUUAGGAGGAAGGGAUUUGGGUGGGCAGCUAGAACAGAAGAGACCUGCCCAUCCCAGGGCCCCUUUGUAUUGCCCCAUCUCAGCCCUAUCUGCUUCCACCCGUCACUCAGUCACUGUUCCGUAUUAGGGCUCAGUAAGUACUGUUGAAUGCAACAAUGUAUUCAGGCCUUCCUUGUGAAUGUAAAUUUUACAGUUUGGCGGGAAUGGGACCUUAACUUGAAUACAAAAUCAGAUUCCGGGUCCUGAAAGGAUCCUGUGUAAGAGGGUGGCCUUGAAACUUAAACUUCAUGCACUUCAUGUUACUCUGGAUGAAUUUUAUAGCUUGACACCCUAAACUGAAAUAAUUCAUGUACCUGUCUUAUGAGUGAACGCUUGUUGAAGUGACAAGUUCUUGCCAUUUUUGACUGCCACAGCUUUACCCUUUCCCAGUGCUUCCAACCCAAUUGCAAAGCAUCCAGCUCCCCGCAGCACUGUAAUUUAUUCAUGUUUGUGUGCAAAUGUGAGAGUCACCUCAGGGCCAGCCUUGCAGCGAGGAUGACUAGGCCUUGUCCAGUGGGAAGACUGGAAUGGCUCAGACAGCGACAGGGCCAUUCCAGGAUGUGACAAGGUGCCAGGUGAGCUGGGAGGAGGUAUCAUCCCAGUGAGCAGGUGAGGGGGGCUGUGCAGGCAAGGUGGCUCUUCCCUCCUGGUAGCCCAGCUUUGCCUUUCUCCCACCUCCACAGAGCACCCAUCUCCCCUCCACUACACAGGGACAGAUUCCACCUGGCUCCUGUGAAUGAGGGGACAUCCAACCCUGGUGAAGGGGGCUGUGACUAUCAGCUGUCCAAUAGGAUAGAUCAGGAUUUACAAAGCACUUUCCUGCUUGUCUCUAGAUUGAGAGAUGUCCUAACAAGAAAAAGCAAGAGCUCUGGCCAAGAUGAUAUCCAAGCGCUGAGCAGAGCGUGGCAGAAACAGGACACAGUCACACGGCUGCCUACCCCACCUCACACCUGGAGUUGCCUCAGCAGGUUGGGACCAACGCUUCCACCCAGGAGGAGAGCUGUCUACAGCGCCCUCUGCUGGGCCCCAGGAGACCACCCCUGGCAGUCCUGUGAUGAAGGCAUCAUUAUACCAAUUUGAAUAUAAGAAACUGAAGCUAAGGAAGAUGAAUGACAAUACAUGACAACCUAUACGUACCUGCCAUUUUUUGUUUGUUUGGUUUCUUUUGUUUUUGUUGUUGUUUUUUUGUGACAGGGUCUUGCUGUGUAAUUCAGGCUGGCCUCAAACUCAUUAUGUAGCCUCCAAUUUGAGGUGACCCUCUUGCCUCAGUCCCCAAAUACUGGGAUUACAGGCAUGUGCCACCACACCCGGCCACUUGUUUGGUUUUUUGGCAGUGGAGGGGAUCGAACCUAGGGCCUCAAACAUGCUAGGCAACUGCUACCACUGAGUCACACCACAGCCCUGCAGUUUUUAAUCCUUGAGUUACUCCUCAGAAAAGAGCUAAGAGACAUUUUAGCUCUGACGGUUCCUUCCAAUGACAGGAGGCCUUUGCAGUUACUUUUGUUGAACAACACCUUUCUUUUUGGGGAGUAACACAUUAACCUGCAAUUGCCCUGACCGAUGCUAGUUUUGAUGUUUCUGGAGACCCUUCAAGAGUUGUCAAAAAAGGCCGGGG
rnacentral:lncRNA from 1 species